rnacentral:rRNA from 1 species
CGUAGGUGGCAAGCGUUGUCCGGAUUUAUUGGGUUUAAAGGGUGCGUAGGCGGUUCCAUAAGUCAGUGGUGAAAUACAAUAGCUUAACUAUUGAGGUGCCAUUGAUACUGCGGAACUUGAGUACAGACGAGGUAGGCGGAAUUGACGGUGUAGCGGUGAAAUGCUUAGAUAUCGUCAAGAACACCGAUAGCGAAGGCAGCUUACUAGACUGUAACUGACGCUGAGGCACGAAAGUGUGGGGAUCAAACAGGAUUAGAUACCCCGGUAGUCCACACUGUAAACGAUGAUUACUCGAUGUUGGCGAUACACAGCCAGCGUCUUAGCAAAAGCGAUAAGUAAUCCACCUGGGGAGUACGCCGGCAACGGUG